AUUGAACGCUGGCGGCAGGCUUAACACAUGCGAGUCGAGCGGGGUGAUGGUGCUUGCACUAUCACUUAGCGGCGGACGGGUGAGUAAUGCUUAGGAAUCUGCCUAUUAGUGGGGGACAACAUCUCGAAAGGGAUGCUAAUACCGCAUACGUCCUACGGGAGAAAGCAGGGGAUCACUUGUGACCUUGCGCUAAUAGAUGAGCCUAAGUCGGAUUAGCUAGUUGGUGGGGUAAAGGCCUACCAAGGCGACGAUCUGUAGCGGGUCUGAGAGGAUGAUCCGCCGCACUGGGACUGAGACACGGCCCAGACUCCUACGGGAGGCAGCAGUGGGGAAUAUUGGACAAUGGGGGGAACCCUGAUCCAGCCAUGCCGCGUGUGUGAAGAAGGCCUUAUGGUUGUAAAGCACUUUAAGCGAGGAGGAGGCUCUUUUGGUUAAUACCCAAGAUGAGUGGACGUUACUCGCAGAAUAAGCACCGGCUAACUCUGUGCCAGCCGCCGCGGUAA
rnacentral:rRNA from 1 species